rnacentral:rRNA from 1 species
UAGGAGUACCCGCUGAACUUAAGCAUAUCAAAAAGCGCGAGGAGAAA